rnacentral:tRNA from 2 species
GUGACCGUAGCUCAAUGGUAGAGCGCCUGCCUGUGGAGCAGGAGGUCGCGGGUUCGACUCCCGUCGGUCACC